AUCAGGAUGAUGCUGGCCUCAUAAAAUGAGUUAGGGAGGAUUCCCUCUUUUUCUAUUGAUUGGAAUAGUUUGAGAAGGAAUGGUACCAGUUCCUCCUUGUACCUCUGGUAGAAUUCGGCUGUGAAUCCAUCUGGUCCUGGACUCUUACUGGUUGGCUACACCCUGCAAGGUCAUUAUCAUUAGCUGCACUUUACAGGAGAGGAAGCUGAGGCUCAGAGAAGCAAACUGCCCUCCUACUUAUGUUGAAGACUUUCCCAUCCUAUGAGCCCAGGUGGGAGAAGCUGAAAAUGGCAGAAGGUCACUUUUCCAGCUGCCCUGUGCCUGCACUUCAGGGCCAAGGAGUUUGAAGAAGUCCAAGGUAGAGCUUUCUGGAAAAUCCUCUGGAGAGGUUGAUCAGAAACCUUCUCCCACAUAAACAAAGGACCCAGGAAGAAGCUAAAAAUGGGCCAUGAGAUUGUCUUUAUUCAUCAAGCCUGAAGUUUUCUGACUCUAUCUUUCUUUUCCCGUGGCCACUGUUACCUCUCCAGAACAGACCCCAUCACCUGAAUUCUGCCUGAGCCUCGACAGAUAUGCUCAGCUGCUCUCCCAUGCUGGCUGUUGUUACCCCAACCCACUUAAAAUUCCUUGAGGUCUUAGAAGCUCUCUCCCACCAAGGUGCCGAAAGAAGUAUUUCACAGGUUCUCAGUGACAAUUGUUUAUUGAAAUUUACACUGAUGAGAAGUGGUCCCUAUUAAGGGAAUUCAAUCCAAGGAGAUUGGCUCUAUACUUUGAACCGCUGUGGCC
rnacentral:lncRNA from 1 species